rnacentral:rRNA from 1 species
AACGGCCCACCGUGGCGACGAUGCGUAGGGGUUCUGAGAGGAAGGUCCCCCACACUGGUACUGAGACACGGACCAGACUCCUACGGGAGGCAGCAGUGAGGAAUAUUGGUCAAUGGGAGAGAUCCUGAACCAGCCAAGCCGCGUGAGGGAAGACGGCCCUAUGGGUUGUAAACCUCUUUUGUCGGAGAACAAAACCCGGGACGUGUCCCGGACUGCGUGUAUCCGAAGAAAAAGCAUCGGCUAACUCCGUGCCAGCAGCCGCGGUAAUACGGAGGAUGCGAGCGUUAUCCGGAUUUAUUGGGUUUAAAGGGUGCGUAGGCGGUCCGUUAAGUCAGCGGUAAAAUUGCGGGGCUCAACCCCGUCGAGCCGUUGAAACUGGCAGACUUGAGUUGGCGAGAAGUACGCGGAAUGCGCGGUGUAGCGGUGAAAUGCAUAGAUAUCGCGCAGAACUCCGAUUGCGAAGGCAGCGUACCGGCGCCAGACUGACGCUGAGGCACGAAAGCGUGGGGAUCGAACAGGAUUAGAUACCCUGGUAGUCCACGCAGUAAACGAUGAAUGCUGGUUGUCCGGGUCGAAUGAGAUCUGGGCGGC